AUUAUUUUAAUAUUAUUAUUAUUAUUUUCUUUCUUUCUUUCUUUUCUUUUUUCUUUUCUUUUCUUUUCUUUUCUUUUUCUUUUCUUUUCUUUUCUUUCCUUCUCUUUUCUUUUUUUUCUUUUCUUUUUCUUUUCUUUUCUUCUCUUCUUCUCCCGAAGCUUCCUCUCCUUUCUUUCUUUUUCUUCUUCUUCUCUUUUCCUCUCUUUUCUUUGGCGGAACAGGGGACCCAUACCCCCCCCAUUUCCUUCCUUCUCCGUCGGACUCAGGGGCGGCCGUGGUGGCCAACCCCGUUGGCGGCAAGGGGUGGCGAAGCAAGUGCGACAACCCCCAGCGGCUGGCGGCGGCGCACAAGACCGGCGGCGAG
rnacentral:lncRNA from 1 species